UUAUAUUUCUUUACGGAGGGAGUACUAUAUCAUGUCACCCAGACUUGGAAUCAGAUCGAAUUGUUUUUGGAUGUUAGAAAUCGGUUGCCAUGCCCUAUACAGCCGGGUUCAGAAAUGGUCUAGACCCAAAAUUAUCCUAACCGCUUCCACACUUAGCCACAACACACACAAGGCAAUGGUUAAUGGACAGGAUUUCUGAAGCUUCUGAGUUCCACUCCAUGAUUUUUGCGGGGGCUAUAUGGCAUAUAUGGGAGAACAGGAACUCAUGUCGCAAUGGUUCCAACAGGCGUGAGACAUCGACAUCAAUUCAGAAAUGGUCUCCGCCGCCGGAAGGCCUGCUCAUGAUCAAUGUGGAUGCUGCAAUUUUCUCAAAAUCUGGACGCGCUGGGUUCGGAUUGGUAAUGUGUGAUUAUAAGGGACUGGUGCGAGCUGCUUGCCGUGGCUUUCUUAAUCAUGUAUAUUGUCCUGAGGUUGCUGAAGCCUAUGCUAUAUGCCAAGCAUUCAUUCUUGCUGAAAACACAGGGGUCCAAAGGCUUGAGGUGGCUUCUGAUUGUCUCUCGGUGAUUAAGAAAGUCCAACAACAAAGCAUGGACAGAUCCCUGACUGGUGCUACUACUAAUUCUCCAUACUUGCGAAAUUUAUUGGAGAAAAGGAAGGCAAGCUGAAAAAUAGAAAGAUACAAAGUUGGGUUACUAACUAUUUCAUUAAAAUAACAAAAAUAAUCAACGUAAAUUUAGCGUUAAUUAGCUUAUCAAUUUGAGAUGACAGGGGGCUUUGUCCGUAGUUACAAAAUCUAGUCAUGUCCUACAACACGGUUCCAUUUUUUGGUACAUAUUCCACUCAGAUUCUUAUUUUUUUAUCGUUACUUUUUACUAGAAGGCAUGAAAGUCGUGGUUCAAGAAACAAAUAAUAAUAAGAUGGUGUGUAAACACUAAAUAAUAAUAGUUGUCGGCAUGGUAGAAGAAAAAUCAACAACAAAACCCCAUGAGACGCAUGGUUCCACACUUGAACAACAUUAUACAUGUGCGUAAUCGCUACUUACUCCGUUCCAUAAUUCUUGUGGUUUGUUUUAAUUCAAAUCGUAAUUUAUUCAACAUGACCGAGUUACCAAACAACGACCAAGGAAACAGUACAGCUUAGAUUUUAAGCACCUACAAUCAUAGAGGAGAGCAUGCAAACCUUAUUUAUCUGGACUGGAGAUGUACACAGUACACACUCGUAGAAAACAUGGCUAACGUUCGGGCCUGGCCAGCCCAUUAGUCCCGGUUCUUCAAGAACCGGGACCCAUGGGGGGUAUUAGACACGGUUCGUGAGCCCAGGGGGGCGGCCGGGUCUGGCAAUACGAGAACAGGAGUAGAGCUCGUCGCUAGCUUCAAAGCCUCAAAUGCCUCCUGAGCUAAAGUAGACCACUCCAACUGCUUCUGCUUCAAUAACCGAGUUAGUGGUUUGGCAAUGACACCAUAGCCCUUCAUUUGCGAUAGGUGCAUUCCAUACAGGGGCUAAGUUCUAACAACAGAUAUAGCAUUAUGCAUGUCCAAAUGAUUGAUAUGCACGAGUCUGUCAUGUGCUAGAUAACUGAAUUUACCUGACGACGAAUCCAGUGUCCUGCAUCCACUCCCAGGGGGUCUGAUACCCACGGCCGUCACAGAAACAAGCAAGGCUGUACACUCCAUGCUCCCAC
rnacentral:lncRNA from 1 species